UACGGGGGGGGCAAGCGUUGUUCGGAAUUACUGGGCGUAAAGGGCUCGUAGGUGGCCACCUAAGUCUGACGUGAAAUCCCUCGGCUUAACCGGGGAACUGCGUCGGAUACUGGGUGGCUUGAAUCCGGGAGAGGGACGUGGAAUUCCAGGUGUAGCGGUGAAAUGCGUAGAUAUCUGGAGGAACACCGGUGGCGAAGGCGGCGUCCUGGACCGGUAUUGACACUGAGGAGCGAAAGCCAGGGGAGCAAACGGG
rnacentral:rRNA from 1 species